rnacentral:rRNA from 1 species
GAUGAACGCUGGCUACAGGCUUAACACAUGCAAGUCGAGGGGAAACGACGGGGAAGCUUGCUUCCCCGGGCGUCGACCGGCGCACGGGUGAGUAACGCGUAUCCAACCUGCCUCUGACUGAGGGAUAAUCCGUCGAAAGUCGGCCUAAUACCUCAUGGUAUCGUCUGCGGGCAUCCAACGACGAUUAAAGAUUUCAUCGGUCAGGGAUGGGGAUGCGUCUGAUUAGCUUGUUGGCGGGGUAACGGCCCACCAAGGCUACGAUCAGUAGGGGUUCUGAGAGGAAGGUCCCCCACAUUGGAACUGAGACACGGUCCAAACUCCUACGGGAGGCAGCAGUGAGGAAUAUUGGUCAAUGGGCGAGAGCCUGAACCAGCCAAGUAGCGUGCAGGAAGACGGCCCUAUGGGUUGUAAACUGCUUUUAUGCGGGGAUAAAGUGAGGGACGUGUCCCUCAUUGCAGGUACCGCAUGAAUAAGGACCGGCUAAUUCCGUG